rnacentral:rRNA from 1 species
UAGGGAAUCUUCCGCAAUGGGCGAAAGCCUGACGGAGCAACGCCGCGUGAGUGAAGAAGGUCUUCGGAUCGUAAAACUCUGUUAUUAGGGAAGAACAAAUGUGUAAGUAACUAUGCACGUCUUGACGGUACCUAAUCAGAAAGCCACGGCUAACUACGUGCCAGCAGCCGCGGUAAUACGUAGGUGGCAAGCGUUAUCCGGAAUUAUUGGGCGUAAAGCGCGCGUAGGCGGUUUUUUAAGUCUGAUGUGAAAGCCCACGGCUCAACCGUGGAGGGUCAUUGGAAACUGGAAAACUUGAGUGCAGAAGAGGAAAGUGGAAUUCCAUGUGUAGCGGUGAAAUGCGCAGAGAUAUGGAGGAGCACCAGUGGCGAAGGCGACUUUCUGGUCUGUAACUGACGCUGAUGUGCGAAAGCGUGGGGAUCAAACAGGAUUAGAUACCCUGGUAGUCCACGCCGUAAACGAUGAGUGCUAAGUGUUAGGGGGUUUCCGCCCCUUAGUGCUGCAGCUAACGCAUUAAGCACUCCGCCUGGGGAGUACGACCGCAAGGUUG